rnacentral:rRNA from 1 species
GACGAACGCUGGCGGCGUGCUUAACACAUGCAAGUCGAACGAGAAAGCCCUUCGGGGUAAGUACAGUGGCGAACGGGUGAGUAACACGUGGGCAACCUGCCCCGGAGAGCGGGACAACCCGAGGAAACUCGGGCUAAUACCGCAUGAUGCGUCUCCACUUAAGCGGAGCCGCCAAAUGGUAGCUUCGGCCUCCGCUCUGGGAUGGGCCCGCGCCGGAUUAGCUAGUUGGUUGGGGGAAUGGCCCACCAAGGCGACGAUCCGUAGCUGGUCUGAGAGGACGAUCAGCCACACUGGGACUGAGACACGGCCCAGACUCCUACGGGAGGCAGCAGUGGGGAAUCUUGCGCAAUGGGCGAAAGCCUGACGCAGCAACGCCGCGUGAGGGAAGAAGGCCUUCGGGUUGUAAACCUCUUUCAGUAGGGACGAAGCUUCCGGGGUUAAUAGCCCACGGGGUGACGGUACCUACAGAAGAAGCCCCGGCUAACUACGUGCCAGCCGCCGCUGUAA